rnacentral:rRNA from 1 species
GACGAACGCUGGCGGCGUGCUUAACACAUGCAAGUCGAGCGGAAAGGCCAUUUCGGUGGUACUCGAGCGGCGAACGGGUGAGUAACACGUGAGUAAUCUGCCCCCUACUUUGGGAUAACCCCCGGAAACGGGUGCUAAUACCGGAUACGACCAUUCCACGCAUGUGGUGGUGGUGGAAAGUUUUUUCGGUGGGGGAUGUGCUCGCGGCCUAUCAGCUUGUUGGUGGGGUAAUGGCCUACCAAGGCUUUGACGGGUAGCCGGCCUGAGAGGGUGACCGGCCACACUGGGACUGAGACACGGCCCAGACUCCUACGGGAGGCAGCAGUGGGGAAUAUUGGACAAUGGGCGGAAGCCUGAUCCAGCAACGCCGCGUGAGGGAUGACGGCCUUCGGGUUGUAAACCUCUUUCAGCACCGACGAAGCGCAAGUGACGGUAGGUGCAGAAGAAGGACCGGCCAACUACGUGCCAGCAGCCGCCGUAACAC